CGCAAAUCUCAAUCCGCUGGCAUCAGAUCCGGGUGAGAAAUUCAGUGGAAAACAAAAAGCACUCUAUGAUUGUCUGUCUGGCUGUGCGUUGUGCAAAGAAAGACGUCAAAACUUAAUGCAUCAGCCAAACACAGGCAUGGAAAUGAUCAGAAACACAAGCAAACAACUUUGAAAAAAGGACAAAGGACCAAAUUUAGAGAAACACGAGUUGUUCCUUGUGUGUUGGGCAGUUCCCUGGGGUCCGCUUUAGCCCUGAGCUUACCUUCACUGAGCAGCACCGCUGUGACCACUGACAGGCUGAAUCACUGACAGACUCACUGACUUUAAAAGAUGAGCUGCAGCAGGGCCUGUUCAAGAUU